rnacentral:rRNA from 1 species
GAUGAACGCUGGCGGCGUGCUUAACACAUGCAAGUCGAACGAUGAAGCCCAGCUUGCUGGGUGGAUUAGUGGCGAACGGGUGAGUAACACGUGAGUAACCUGCCCUUAACUCUGGGAUAAGCCUGGGAAACUGGGUCUAAUACCGGAUAGGAGCGUCCACCGCAUGGUGGGUGUUGGAAAGAUUUAUCGGUUUUGGAUGGACUCGCGGCCUAUCAGCUUGUUGGUGAGGUAAUGGCUCACCAAGGCGACGACGGGUAGCCGGCCUGAGAGGGUGACCGGCCACACUGGGACUGAGACACGGCCCAGACUCCUACGGGAGGCAGCAGUGGGGAAUAUUGCACAAUGGGCGCAAGCCUGAUGCAGCGACGCCGCGUGAGGGAUGACGGCCUUCGGGUUGUAAACCUCUUUCAGUAGGGAAGAAGCGAAAGUGACGGUACCUGCAGAAGAAUCACCGGCUAACUACGUG